rnacentral:rRNA from 1 species
AGUUCGAUUAUGGCUCAGAUUGAACGCUGGCGGGAUGCUUCCUUCAAGUCGAACGGCAGCACGGACUUCGGUCUGGUGGCGAGUGGCGAACGGGUGAGUAAUGUAUCGGAACGUGCCUAGUAGCGGGGGAUGUACGCGAAAGCGUAGCUAAUACCACAUACGCCCUUCGGGGGAAAGCGGGGACCUUCGGGCCUCGCACUAUUGGAAGCGGCCGAUAUCGGAUUAGCUAGUUGGUGGGGUAACGGCUCACCAAGGCGACGAUCCGUAGCUGGUUUGAGAGGACGACCAGCCACACUGGGACUGGAGAGACACGGCCCAGACUCCUACAGGAGGCAGCAGUGGGGAAUUUUGGACAAUGGGGAAACCCUGAUCCAGCCAUCCCGCGUGUGCGAUGAUGAAGGCCUUCCCGGGUUGUAAAGCACGGCAGGGAGAAGACGGGCGAAAAUUCUUAUGGCGCUGACAAUGCCUGCAGAAUAAGCACCGGCUAACUGCGUGCCGGCAGCCGCGGUAAUACGUAGGGUGCGAAGGUCGGAAUUAUGGGCAUAAAGCGGUGGGAGCAGUUCGGAAAAUUAAUGAAAUCCCAGAACAACGCAGACUGCAUUUUAACUACCGAGCUAGAAGUGUGUCGGAGGGAGGUGGAAUUCCGCGUGUAGCAGUGAAAUGCGUAGAUAUGCGGAGGAACACCGAUGGCGAAGAGCAGCCUCCGCAAAUAACACUGACGCUCAUACUGCAAGCGUGGGGAGCAAACGAAGGUUAGAAUACCCUGGUGAUCCGCCCUAAACGAUGUCAACUAGCUGUUGGGGCCUUCGGGCCUUGUUGUACGCUAACGCGUGAGAUUGACCGCCUGGGAAGUACGGUCGCAAGAUUAAAACUCAAAGGAAUUGACGAGGGACCCGCACAAGCGGUGGAUGAUGUGGAUUAAUUCGAUGCAACGCGAAAAACCUUACCUACCCUUGACAUGUCUGGAAUCCCGAAGAGAUUUGGGAGUGCUCGCAAGAGAACCGGAACACAGGUGCUGCAUGGCUGUCGUCAGCUCGUGUCGUGAGAUGUUGGGUUAAGUCCCGCAACGAGCGCAACCCUUGUCAUUAGUCGCUACGAAAGGGCACUCUAAUGAGACUGCCGGUGACAAACCGGAGGAAGGUGGGGAUGACGUCAAGUCCUCAUGGCCCAUAUGGGUAGGGCUUCACACGUCAUACAAUGGUCGGGACAGAGGGUCGCCAACCCGCGAAGGGGAGCCAAUCCCAGAAACCCGAUCGUAGUCCGGAUCGCAGUCUGCAACUCGACUGCGUGAGUCGGAAUCGCUAGUAAUGGUCGCGGAUCAGCAUGUCGCGGUGAAUACGUUCCCGGGUCUUGUACACACCGCCCGUCACACCAUGGGAGUGGGUUUUUGCAGAAGUAGUUAGCCUAACCGUAAGGAGGCGAUUACUGCAGUAGGAUUCUGGGCUGGGGUGAAGUGUAACAGG